GACGGGUAUCCGGCCUGAGAGGGUGAACGGACACACUGGAACUGAGACCGGUCCAGACUCUACGGGAGGCAGCAGUAGGGAAUAUUGCUCAAUGGGGGAAACCCUGAAGCAGCAACGCCGCGUGGAGGAUGAAGGUUUUAGGAUUGUAAACUCCUUUUGUUAGAGAAGAUUAUGACGGUAUCUAACGAAUAAGCACCGGCUAACUCCGUGCCGGCAGCCGCGGUAAUACGGAGGGUGCAAGCGUUACUCGGAAUCACUGGGCGUAAAGAGUGCGCAGGCGGGAUAGCAAGUCAGAUGUGAAAUGCUAUGGCUUAACCAUAGAACUGCAUUUGAAACUGUUAUUCUA
rnacentral:rRNA from 1 species